rnacentral:lncRNA from 1 species
AUGAAUUCCACAAACAUGCCAGACAACUUUCUGACUCAGAGGCUGAAUGUAGAAGAACAGCUACAGGGAGGAUGGCAUUACAGUGCUGCUCAAUAUUCCAACACGUUUAUGGUGGAGCCUCAUGCUCACCAGAUGCCCUACCAGAUAUGCUGCACUGACUAUCUCCACAGUGCCCCUAGCUGGUUGCCAUUCGGGGGCCUUCAUCAUUAUGGUCAGUUCAUGUCACAGUGGUUCUACAAUUCCCAGGGAAUGGUAUAUCACCCUGCAUACCCUUACUAUGGAUACCAGACAUCACUGGAAACAAGCCAUGAAGUUGUUGAUGCAACCAGCUUUCAUUAUCAGACAUUACAUCAGCCGAACUUUGCCUCAGACCAGGGAAUUAACGAUGAUGUCUCUAUGGUUCCAUCGUUUGUAGAGGUACCACAUCUUGCUGUAACUCACACCGGUGGACUGGAUCUCGCAUACAACCUUUCCACCAGGGCACAGGUUCCUGCUCACCUUACUUACCAUGAUCUUCAGAGGUUUGGUGAUAGAAGAUUAGUUUUCCCUGUCCCACAUCCCUCAUUGCCUGAGGUCACAUCCCCUGAGGACAUAUCAGAGAUUCAUCAGCGUCCUGUAGAACCUGUAGAGUUUGGAGAUGCCUGUGCAGACACAGGGUCAAUGAGAUUUCACAGGUUUCACCCCCUGGAAAUAGAAAAUCACUCCUCACAGCACGUAUACCCGGAGGCCUGUACUGAGCACUUCCCAGAGAGAGCAGAGUUCUGUGAUGGCCCUGUUUCUGCUGCAUCUGAAGCAUCACCAACCAUGAAUUUACUCAAUUCUAUGUGCCAAGCUAACCCUGACUUUCACAACAAUUUAACUUUUAACAAUUGGUCAGGCUCAGCGUACCCAACAUUUCCUGAGGUCGCAUCCCUGGAAGACAAUACAAGUUUCUUCCAGUGUGAGAAUGAGACUUAUCAGCCUCCUGUAGAAGCAGAGUUUGAAGAAGCCAGUGUGGACUUACGAUCAAUGGGAUUUCACCCCUGGGCAACUCAAGAUCAUCACUCAGACAGUGUAGACAGAGUGGCCAGUCGAGUCGAGUGCAGUGAUGGUCUUGUUUUGACAACAGAAGCAGCUUCUAAUCAUUAUGAUCCACUGUGUCCUACUAACACAGACUUUGAGGACCUUAACAAUUGGUCGAUCUCAGUGGACCCAAUGUUUCCUGAGGUUACAUCCCUAGGGAAUUCCAUGAUGUUCUUGCAAUGUGAUCCUGAGGCUGAAAUAUUAGAGACUUAUCUGCCUCCUGCAAAGGCAGAGUUUGCAGAAGCCUGUCCAGAACCAGGAUCAAUGGGAUUUGAGGACUCGAUGGACUAUAAAGAGCACUUUCCAGAGAGAGCACAGUUCUGCGAUGGUCUUAUUUCUACAACAGAAGCAGAUUCUACUCAUUAUAAUCAACCAUGCCUUGCUACAACUGACUUUAAGGACCUUAACCUUUGGUCAGACUCACUGGAAGAUACCGCAGAGUUCUUUAAAUGUGAGCCUGAGACUGAAAUAUCAAUGAUUUCUCAGCCACCUGUAGAAGUAGAACUUGGAGAAGCCUGUGCUGACACAGAGUCAAUGAGAGUUCACCAAACAAUGACUCAAGAUCACUUCUCAGACCAUGCAGACCUGGUGGAUGGUACUGAGCACUUCCAGGAGCGAGCAGAGUUCUGCGAUGGCCCUGUUUCUACAACAGAAGCAAUUACUACUCAGUAUGAUCAACCGUGCCAUGCUCAAACUGACUUUAAGGACCUUAACAUUUGGUCAGACUCACUGGAACCAACAUGUCCUGAGGUCACAGCCCUGGAUGAUACCACAGAGCUCUUUCAGUGUGAGCCUGAGGCUGAAACAUCAGACAUUUCUCAGCUUUCUGUAAAGCCAGAGUUUGGAGAAGCCUGUGCUGAAACAGGGUCAAUGAGAGUUCACCACACAAUGACUCAAGAUCACUUCUCAGACCAUGCAGACUGUACUGAGCACCUCCAGGAGCGAGCAGAGUUCUGCGAUGGUUUUGUUUCUACAACAGAAGCAGCUAAAACUACUAACCCAGACCUUCAGAACCAUAACAAUGAGUCAGGCACACUAAAGGACCUAAAGCAUCCUGAGGUCACACCCCUAAAAGACACCAUGAGCUUAUGUAAGAUUUCCCAGCCUCCUGUAGAAGAAUCUGAGCCAAUGCAGAUAUAA